GAGGGAUGGGGCUGGAGACACUCCAAUUCAUAGACAGUGCUAUAGAUYCAACGACUGACCAUCGCACCUCCUUCUAAAAUCCCAUUGGAGGAGACYACCGAAGGUUCCUCGCCUCAGACCUCCUCCAAUGAUGCACCUGCAGGCAGAGCUGAAACCAGUUCGGCUGCUGCACCUAUCAGCGACGAGGACAUCUUUAGUUCAAUGGUGUCCAACCCUCUGCCAUCUUCCGACAACACUCAGUGUUGUCUGCCUAUGCCCUCUCCCCUAUGGACACAAUUGCUGUGUUCAGUGAAGACAGACUGCAGCACUGGGCUUCGUUUUCCUCUGCAGU